rnacentral:rRNA from 1 species
GGGGAAUAUUGGACAAUGGGCGCAAGCCUGAUCCAGCAAUGCCGCGUGAGUGAUGAAGGCCUUCGGGUUGUAAAGCUCUUUCGCCCACGACGAUGAUGACGGUAGUGGGAGAAGAAGCCCCGGCUAACUUCGUGCCAGCAGCCGCGGUAAUACGAAGGGGGCUAGCGUUGUUCGGAAUGACUGGGCGUAAAGGGCGCGUAGGCGGCGCAUCAAGUCGGGCGUGAAAGCCCCGGGCUCAACCUGGGAACUGCGUUCGAGACUGGUGCGCUGGAGUUCGGGAGAGGAGAGUGGAAUUCCCAGUGUAGAGGUGAAAUUCGUAGAUAUUGGGAAGAACACCGAUGGCGAAGGCAGCUCUCUGGACCGAUACUGACGCUGAGGCGCGAAAGCGUGGGGAGCAAAC